UUACGGUCAAAUCACGCUGAAAACACCGGUUCUCGUUCGAUCACCGAAGUUAAGCAUCGUAGAGCCAGGUCAGUACUAGAUGGGGGACCGCUUGGGAACACCUGGUACUGUAAG
rnacentral:rRNA from 1 species